UCGCAAAGGGGCAUUAAAUCCCAAUUUCACACCAUUAAUACUAAGUAUAAUAUAAUUUUAAGAGUAAUUACUAAUUUUGUUCAGGCGGUGGAGGGAGAAAGGAAUGAUGGAAGAAAAAUUGCAGGACACAAAGAGAAUGAGAUUUGGCAAGGAGAGUGAAAGAAAUUAAUCGGGUGUGGUCAUAAAUUAUUUUAUCAAGUAAGCCUAUUCAAUCUGAUGGUUAAAAUAAGUG
rnacentral:lncRNA from 1 species